GUAGUUGACUCCGUGCUCGAGGACGACGCUGGCGGCGUGCUUAACACAUGCAAGUCGAACGCUGAAGCCCAGCUUGCUGGGUGGAUGAGUGGCGAACGGGUGAGUAACACGUGGGUAAUCUGCCCCGUACUCCCGGGAUAAGCCCGGGAAACUGGGUCUAAUACCGGAUAGGACACGCUAUCGCAUGGUGGUGUGUGGAAAGCUCCGGCGGUACGGGAUGAGCCCGCGGCCUAUCAGCUUGUUGGUCGGGGUGAUGGCCUACCAAGGCGACGACGGGUAGCCGGCCUGAGAGGGUGACCGGCCACACUGGGACUGAGACACGGCCCAGACUCCUACGGGAGGCAGCAGUGGGGAAUAUUGCACAAUGGGCGCAAGCCUGAUGCAGCGACGCCGCGUGGGGGAUGACGGCCUUCGGGUUGUAAACCCCUUUCGCCCGGGACGAAGCGUAAGUGACGGUACCGGGAGAAGAAGCACCGGCCAACUACGUA
rnacentral:rRNA from 1 species